rnacentral:rRNA from 1 species
AUACAUGCAGUAGAACGCUGAAGAGAGGAGCUUGCUCUUCUUGGAUGAGUUGCGAACGGGUGAGUAACGCGUAGGUAACCUGCCUUGUAGCGGGGGAUAACUAUUGGAAACGAUAGCUAAUACCGCAUAACAAUGGAUGACACAUGUCAUUUAUUUGAAAGGGGCAAUUGCUCCACUACAAGAUGGACCUGCGUUGUAUUAGCUAGUAGGUGAGGUAAUGGCUCACCUAGGCGACGAUACAUAGCCGACCUGAGAGGGUGAUCGGCCACACUGGGACUGAGACACGGCCCAGACUCCUACGGGAGGCAGCAGUAGGGAAUCUUCGGCAAUGGGGGCAACCCUGACCGAGCAACGCCGCGUGAGUGAAGAAGGUUUUCGGAUCGUAAAGCUCUGUUGUAAGUCAAGAACGGGUGUGAGAGUGGAAAGUUCACACUGUGACGGUAGCUUACCAGAAAGGGACGGCUAACUACGUGCCAGCAGCCGCGGUAAUACGUAGGUCCCGAGCGUUGUCCGGAUUUAUUGGGCGUAAAGCGAGCGCAGGCGGUUUGAUAAGUCUGAAGUUAAAGGCUGUGGCUCAACCAUAGUUCGCUUUGGAAACUGUCAAACUUGAGUGCAGAAGGGGAGAGUGGAAUUCCAUGUGUAGCGGUGAAAUGCGUAGAUAUAUGGAGGAACACCGGUGGCGAAAGCGGCUCUCUGGUCUGUAACUGACGCUGAGGCUCGAAAGCGUGGGGAGCGAACAGGAUUAGAUACCCUGGUAGUCCACGCCGUAAACGAUGAGUGCUAGGUGUUGGAUCCUUUCCGGGAUUCAGUGCCGCAGCUAACGCAUUAAGCACUCCGCCUGGGGAGUACGACCGCAAGGUUGAAACUCAAAGGAAUUGACGGGGGCCCGCACAAGCGGUGGAGCAUGUGGUUUAAUUCGAAGCAACGCGAAGAACCUUACCAGGUCUUGACAUCCCGAUGCUAUUUCUAGAGAUAGAAAGUUACUUCGGUACAUCGGUGACAGGUGGUGCAUGGUUGUCGUCAGCUCGUGUCGUGAGAUGUUGGGUUAAGUCCCGCACGAGCGCACCCCUAUUGUUAUUGCCAUCAUUCAUUUGGGCACCUAGCGAAAUGCCGGUAUAAACCGGAGAAAGGGGGGGGAGGACGUCCAAUCUCAGGCCCCUAUAACCGGGGCACCCCCUGCUCAAUGGUGGUAAAC